CAGUAGCCGCGGUAAUACGUAGGGUGCGAGCGUUAAUCGGAAUUACUGGGCGUAAAGCGUGCGCAGGCGGUUCGUUAAGACAGAUGUGAAACCCCCGGGCUUAACCUGGGAACUGCAUUUGUGACUGGCGAGCUAGAGUAUGGCAGAGGGGGGUAGAAUUCCACGUGUAGCAGUGAAAUGCGUAGAGAUGUGGAGGAAUACCGAUGGCGAAGGCAGCCCCCUGGGCCAAUACUGACGCUCAUGCACGAAAACGUGGGGAGCAAACAGGAUUAGAUACCCCGGUAGUCCCUGUCUCUUAUAA
rnacentral:rRNA from 1 species